rnacentral:rRNA from 1 species
AAUUAAGAAUAGAAAGGAAUUAUAGUGGAAGACUAAUCUAUAUAUAAAAAGGAGGUAUAUACCAAAUUAUUGUUGAUAAAUAUAUGAUACAAUAAAAUCCAAAGAUUAAAAAAUCAAAGGGCUAAAAAAGCCAUUAAUAACCUGCUAAACUGAAACAUCUAAUUAAGCAGAGGAAAAGAAAUCAACCGAGAUUCAAAAAGUAGUGGCGAACAAAAUUUGAAAAGUCUAAAAAAAAAAAGAAACCUAAAAUUUUGGAAAAAAUAUCCUUAGAAGGUAAAAGUCCUGUGGGUUAUCUUUUAUAAUUGUAUUAAGUAAAAUGAGAGUUAACUUAUUUGAAAAAAGGGGAACCAUCCUCUAAGACUAAAUAUGAUAUAUAGAAUGAUAGUGUAAAGUACUGUAAAGGAAAAGAUUGAAAAGAAAAGGAGAUAAAAGAAGUGAAAAAGAUCCUGAAUCUGUAAUUCUAUAAGUAAGGGGAAUAAUAGUAAUAAAAACCCUGUACCUUUUGCAUAAUGGGUCAGCAAGUUGAUAAUAUAAGUAAGAUGUAAAAUCGAAAUGAAAAUAAAUAAAUUUUUAUUAUCAGACCCGAAAUCUAGUGAUCUUCCCAUGAUCAAGUUCUAGGACUGAACCUUAGUUUGUUGCAAUAAACAAGGAUGAAUUGUGGGAAGGGGCGAAAGACCAAUCUAACUAGAAGAUAGCUGGUAUUCCGCGAAAACUAUAAUAGUAGUACAUUUUAAAAAAAUUAUAAUCAUAAUUCGUGCUAAGGAUUAUAUCUAAUUAUCAAAAAAAAUGAAUAAUUAUAAAAAUAUAAAUCUAAUCAUCAUAAAAUAUUAUAAUAUUAAAAUAGUCAGUCUUAAGGGGAUAAGCUCAUAAGACAAAAGGGAAAAAGCCCAGAACCUUAAAUAAGGUCCCUAAUUAAUAACUAAGUGAAAUAAAGAGAGUAAAGUGUAUUAUUCAACUCUAUAGUAGGCUUGGAAACAGCCAUCUAUAAAAGAAAACGUAAUAGUUCAAGAGGAUGAUAGAUAAUUAUAAAUCUAUCAAUAUAACUAAUAAGCAUCGAAAAUGUAAAGGGUCUUAAGUUAUUAACCGAUAUAAGGUUGAAAAAGGUAGCGGAACAUUCAGUAAAUGGAAAGAAGGUAUAAACCUUUAAACAUAUCUGAAGAGAGAAUGCUGACAUGAGUAACAAAAAUGAAUGUUAAAGAAUCAUUCAGGCCGAAAAAAAUAGGUUAAAAGUAAAAAGGAUAAACCUUUCUUAAAUUAAACGGUCUCUAAAUUAUAUGAUGAGUAGAUUAGAAAAUUUAUAGAAUUUUAUAAAAUAUUUAGUAUAUAAUAAUAAAAUAUUUAAGUAGUUAACUUUAUUUUAUUAUUAUAUACCUGGAAAAUAUCUAAUCUAACCGUUCUAAAACCAACACAGGUUUUUUUAUAGAGUAUAUUAAGGCCUAUCAGAUAAUCAUCUUUAAGGAACUCGGCAAAUUACUCCUGUAACUUCGGAAUAAAGGAGGGUCUAUAUAGACUGGCACAGAAUAGAAGAGAACAACUGUUUACUAAAAACACAGCACUUUGCAAAUAUAAAAAAGAUUAAAUAGUAGUAUAAAGUGUGAAACCUGCCCAGUGCUAGCAAGUAAGUAAACUAUCUAUAAAGGAUAAUUUAAUAAUUUCUAGUAAACGGCGGUCUUAACUAUGAGGAUCCUAAGGUAGAAUGCUGCCUUAUAGAUAUCUAAAUAUCUAAAAAUAACUGGCUCAUAACGGUGAAGUCUAACGAAAUAUAUAUAUUUCUAUGGUAAUACCGUGGGAAGUAAAGAAAUUUACCCCGUAACGACUUCGGAUUUAUUAAAAAUCCGGGAUAAUUUAAGAUUUUAGAAAUUAAAUUAUAAUACGCCAGAUUUUAAUUAAAAUAAAUGUAAAUGGAAUUAAUUGAGGCAUAAAAUUAAUAAAUAUAUAUUACAUAAAUAUUAUAAAAUGAAAGAAAUACAAUUAUUUAACUUAAACCCUAAUUGGGUUACUGGUUUUACUCAAGCAGAUGGUUGUUUUAAUAUAACUUUUACUAAAAAAAAACCAAAUCAAAUUCGUUUAAGAGCUAGAUUUAUAAUUUCACAACAUAUAAAAGAUGAACUUCUGAUCUUAUCAAUUAAAAAUUUCUUUAAUUGUGGUAUAAUUAUUAAAAAUAAAAAAGAAAUUCAAUAUGUUGUUAAUUCUAUAAAUGAUUUAAUAAAUAUUAUUAUACCUCAUUUUGAUAAAUAUCCUUUAAAAUAUGGUAAAUAUACCUCAUAUUUAAUUUUUAAAAAUAUUAUAGAAAAAAUGAAGAAUAAACAACAUUUAACUCAAAAAGGUUUAAUUGAUAUAAUAAAUCUAACUUAUAUUAUGAAUCCUUUAGGUAAAAGAAAAAUUAAUAAAAAAGAAUUAUUUGAAUUUUUAAAAAUUAAAGAUUUUUCUAUUUCAGAUGAAAAUAAUCCGUAUACUGAUUUUUCUUUAUCUAAUAAAUUUUUAUAUCAAAAUGAAAUUGAUAUUAAUUUUAUUGGAGGAUUAAUUCAAGGUGAUGGUUGUUUUAAUAUAAGUUUUAGAAAAGAUUUAAAAAUUCAAGCUCAAUUAUUCAUAGCUCAAGAUAUGUAUUCCAUUGAAUUAUUAUCAGAAAUAAAAAAAUUUUUUAAUUGUGGAAAUAUUAUAGAUAAAAAAGUAAAAAUGUCUAUAAUAGAAAUUAAGAAUAUUAAUAAUUUAUAUAAUAAAAUAUUACCUUUAUUUAAUGAAAAUUUAUUUUUUUUAGAUAAAUUAAAACAAUUUAUUAUAUUUAAACAAAUAGUUAAUUUAUUAUAUAAUAAACAACAUUUAACUAAAGAUAAUAAAUUAAAAAUUGUAGAUUUAGCUUAUAAUAUGAAUAAUAAUGGUAUUAAAAGAAAAUUAACUAAAGAACAAUUUAUACAAAUAAUAAUAAAUAAAUAUAAAUAAAUAUGUUAAUAUGAACGAAUUUAUCAUUUAUAAAUUUAAUUAAAAUAAGGUAUAGUCUAGUUCCACAUAAAAGUGUGGGUUAAUAUACAAGCGAAAUUCUUUGUCAUCUAAUUAGUGACGCGCAUGAAUGGUAAAAUGACUUUUCUUACUGUCUCAAAGAUGAACUGAGUGAAAUUACAAUGUCCGUGCAGAUGCGGACUACCAUUAGCUAGACGGGAAGACCCUUUGAAGCUUUACUGUUAAUAAAUAUCUUUAAUUAAAAUUUAAAAUUAAGGUUAUCUUUAUUAGAUUUACUUAUCUUAAAUUAAAUUAAAAAAAAUUGUUUAUAAGACAGUUUUCUUGGGAGGAGAUCCUCAUAAAAAGUAACUGAGGAGUUCAAAGCUUUAUUUAACCUGAAGGGAAAUCAGGGAAUGUUAAUAACAUUCUAAAAAGUAUAAUGAUAAAUAAAGUUGACGUUUAGGAUCACAAUCCAAAACGAGUCGUAAGACGGACAUAGUGAACCGAUAAUAUCAAUAUGGAAUGGUUAUCGAUUAUCGGAAUAAGCUACUCAAGGGAUAACAGGCUAGUUAUGCAUGAUAGUACACAUUGACUGCAUAGCUCGGCACCUCGAUGUCGACUCAUCUUAUCCUGGAGCAGAAGCAUGUUCCAAGGGUUUGGCUGUUCGCCAAAUAAAAAGGUACGUGAGUUGGGUUAAAUACGUCGUAAGACAGUAUGGAUCCUAUCUACUAAUGGAAAACAAAAAUAAUAGGUUUUAAUCGUAGUACGAAAGGAAUCGAUAGAGUUAAUCUCUUGUUUUUCAGUUAUGUAAAAGUAUAGCUGAUAAGCUACAUUAAUAAAAGUUAAUAACUGAAAGCAUAUAAAGUUAGAAACUAGCCUUAAAAAUUUGUUAAUUAGAAAGGAUAAAGAAAAUAUCCAAAUAGGUUAUUAGUGAUAAUAUAGUAAUAUAAAAGCUUAAUAAUACUAAAAAUCAAGAAACUUAAUAAA